GUUUAUGGCAUAAAAAAGUAAAACAAAGGCCAUUGUCAAAAUAUUUUUCCAGCCCAAAUAUGAAAUCCUAACCUAGGCUAAUCUGAAAUCACUCAUCAGAAAUUCAGAAUCACCACUAACAUCUGAAUCAGUCCGUCCUCCUCCUCCUCCACAAAUCACUAUUAGUAAAUCACAACAUUAGUCCGUCAUCCCUUCACUCCUUCACAAUCAGUCCAUUGUCCUUCACUCCGCCGUCCUUCACUCCGCCGUCCUUCACUCCUUCACAAUCAGUCAAUCAGUUCGUCGUCCUUCAUUUUGGUGAAUGUUCUGGGACCAAGACGAAAUUUGGGAUAUUGGGUUCUUGAUUCUUUUAGAAUUCUUUAUAUCUUGCUUUAUUUGGAUGAUUUUCUGUACUUCCUGCUAUUUCUUAUAUUCAUCAAUGCAAGAAUAGAUGAAUGUAGUGAGAGAUGUAUGAGAGCGAUAGUUCGAGUUGCUUGUUUCAUUUUUGAGUUGUUUUAACUGAUUGAUGGUCUAUGGAUCACUUGUUUCACUGAUGUAUCAGUUGCACUGGGGUGGGGUGGGGGGAGUUUGAUGGAGCAGAGGGGGGAUUCUAGGACCUCAAUGAAAUUUGGGAUAUUGGGGUUUGAUUCUUUUAGAAUUCUUGAUAUCUAUUUCUUGUAUUCAUCAAUGCAAGAAUAGAUGAAUGGAGCUAGAGAUGCAUGAGAGCAAUAUUUUGAGUUGCUUGUUUCAUUUUUGAGUAGUUUUAAACUGAUUGAUGGUCUAUAGAUCACUCGUUUCACUGGUGUAUCAGUUGCUUUGAUGUAAACAUGUAAUCACUUGUUCUGAUUCAAUUAACCGGUUAUGUUUAUUUAUUCUUUUUAAUAUUUCCUUAGUUGCAAAAGAAAAAAUUCCUUAGCCAUGAGCUGCUCUCUCUGUUAUUCAGCAGUUGUUGAUUUAGCUUGUCCUCUACCUUCAGUGUAUGUAAUAUUUAAUUAUUAAUUACUCCAUUCUAGUUAUCUUGGUUUUGUUUGUGAAGUAUCAGUAUUUACAUCUAUCUAUGUAAAUUUUGAAAACUGUUGUUUUUUAUAGGCAGAUUAGUGCUAUCUUAUUUUUUAGUCUCAGUUUUUCAAAUGUUUCCUAACUGGAUUUCCUUAUUUGAUGGCCCUCUUUAGAGAAAUCACGUCUUUAUGCUUCAAUUGCAUCACGGAUAAUAAAUAUACUGUGUUGUAACUUCAAACAGUUGACAGUAAGGUUUCUUUCUUUUUUCAUUAAUGGCUUACUGGUUUUGAUUUCCAUGCCUUUCUGCAGUGGACUUACCACCAUGGUUCUCUUCGGUGACUAUUUCUUUGGAGUCCAAUGUUGGCGUUCAGAUAACAGUGAAGUUGGCCUCUCUUAAUGUGUGAUUGCAUUUGAAGACAUGGAAUUGGUUGAUGUUGUUGUUCAAUUUGUCCAGCAACUCUUUAAUGGACCAAGGAGGUUUUGCUUGUUGUUGCAGCCACCUGAUGAGAAGCUCAAAGUCAACUUCCAGCUCUAUCUGGGAGUACCCAAGCUGAAGGCACCAGCAAAGGCAAAGAUGAGAUCACUAUGAUCAUUUUUAAGAAGGCAGCAACAUUGUUUAGUUUGUUAUUAAAAAUCUUCACAUCUUUUAUUGUUGCUAUUGUGAAUAUGAUGUACUAACAUAUUCCGUGUGGACUUCGACUUCAAUAUGGUAUUACCGAAUAUCGUAUAGAACCAAAUUUUGAUUUAUCGAUUACUGAA